rnacentral:rRNA from 1 species
UACAGAGGUCUCAAGCGUUGUUCGGAUUCAUUGGGCGUAAAGGGUGCGUAGGUGGCGCUGUAAGUCGGGUGUGAAAUUUCGGAGCUUAACUCCGAAACUGCAUUCGAUACUGCGGUGCUUGAGGACUGGAGAGGAGACUGGAAUUCAUGGUGUAGCAGUGAAAUGCGUAGAGAUGUGGAGGAACACCAGUGGCGAAGGCGACUUUCUGGCCUGUUCUUGACGCUGAGGCGCGAAAGCUAGGGGAGCAAACGGG